rnacentral:rRNA from 1 species
UACGUAGGGGGCAAGCGUUGUCCGGAUUUAUUGGGCGUAAAGGGUCCGCAGGCGGUUUGGUAAGUUUGACGUGACAGUUCCUGGCUCAACUGGGAAAGUGCGUUGGAAACUGCCAGACUUGAGGGCUUCAGAGGGAUGCGGAAUUCCGGGUGGAGUGGUGAAAUGCGUAGAUAUCCGGAGGAACACCAAAGGCGAAGGCAGCAUCCUGGGAAGUCACUGACGCUCAGGGACGAAAGCUAGGGGAGCGAACGG